rnacentral:rRNA from 1 species
UACGUAGGGGGCUAGCGUUGUCCGGAAUCAUUGGGCGUAAAGAGCGUGUAGGCGGCCAAGCAGGUCCGUUGUGAAAACUCGAGGCUCAACCUCGAGACGUCGAUGGAAACCGUCGGGCUAGAGUCCGGAAGAGGUGAGUGGAAUUCCGAGUGUAGAGGUGAAAUUCGUAGAUAUUCGGAGGAACACCAGUGGCGAAGGCGGCUCACUGGUCCAUUACUGACGCUGAGGUGCGAAAGCGUGGGGAGCAAACAGG